AGGGUCAAGGAUAACCGUCCAAUCAAUGUCGGUUUGAUCCAAUGGCUCACGUUCACUUGAGGGGACUAUAAAACCAGACCCCCUGGCCCCUGGAGGAGACAAGUUUAUCAUAGAGUUGAGAGGAGCCCUCGAAGGAAAACCUCUCCUCUAAAUAAAAUUUCUUUUUAGGCUUAGCAACCAAUGUGAGUAGAAAUAGAUCUUCUAGUUUCUACUAGAUUGAGAGCGAUAGAGUGGAG
rnacentral:lncRNA from 1 species